UGGGCCGACCAUCAGGCCCCACCAGGAAGAUGCCUACCGGCGCAACAGGCAACGACGUAAAAAAAAAAAAAAAAAAACUACUACUACUACUACUAUUACUACUACUACUACUACUACUUUUCCAGUCACACACAUAAAUACAGGCAGCAAGAUCACGGAGGAACAGGUUGAAAAAAAAAAACCUUUAUUUAACACACCUUGAAAGUAAUGAAAUCAAAUGGUUACAUGGUUGAAUGGUUGAGUUGCAAUGGUUGAAAGAACGUAACUUGAGAAGAAGGUUGAAUAGAAGUGGAUAUUCUUUAGGGAGGUGUAAGGUUGAAAGUGGGCUUGAAAAUGAUUGAGGGUAGAAUUUGGGCUAGAGAGGUAUAUGUAGGUCGUACAAAUUGGGCUAAGGUAAUUUAUAAUGGUCUUUCAAAUUGAGCAAUGGAAAUUUAUAUAGGUCUUUUAAAUUGAGCGAUAGGAAUUUAUAUAGGUCGUUUAAAUUGGGAGAGGGAAAUUUAUAUAGGUCUUUCAAAUUGGGCCGAUGAAAUUUAAUGUAGCGCGUACAAAUUGGACUAAGGAAGUUUAUAUAGAGCGUACAUAUUGGGCUAGCGAAGUUUAUGAGGCCAUAUUAAUUGGGUUAGAAGGUAAUAGGGAGGGCUUCAAAUUGUGUUAGAAAGUAAUAAGGGAAUUUCACUUUGGUCUCGAUAUAUCAGAAAAGUGGAAUUGGGCUCGAAAUCUAUGGGGAAAUAAAUUGGGCCAUAAAAGAAAAUGUGCAAGUUUGGCUAGAAUAAUUUUUUAAGAGUUAGAUUUAUAGGAGAACAAAAAUAAUAGGGAGGCUACAUUUCGGCUGUAAAUUUAUUGGGAAAACAUUCAAAUCGGGCCAGAAAAUUAAUGGUAGCGUACGUGUGGGGUUGAGAUACUAAGGAAAGCGAGCAAAGUGGGAUUGAAAACGUAUGAAACCGUACAAAUUGGGCUAGAAAAUUCAGGUAAGUAAAGCGUACAAAUUGGGCUAGAAAAUUCAGGUAAGUAAAGCGUACAAAUUGGGCUAGAAAAUUCAGGUAAGUAAAGCGUACAAAUUGGGCUAGAAAAUUCAGGUAAGUAAAGCGUACAAAUUGGGCUAGAAAAUUCAGGUAAGUAAAGCGUACAAAUUGGGCUAGAAAAUUCAGGUAAGUAAAGCGUACAAAUUGGGCUAGAAAAGUAAGGUAAGGGAAGCAUACAUGUGUUAGUAGAAUGGGGCUGGGGGCUGUACGUCGGGGCUUCAUAAUAUAUAGGCAUGAAGGUGGCUGCGGGGCCGUACUCGUGAAAGUGAGAGAGAGAGAGAGAGAGAGAGAGAGAGAGAGAGAGAGAGAGAGAGAGAGAGAGA